GUGUGAGAAGAUAAUGGACCAAAGGCCCUUUUUGGGGCCUGUCAUGGGGUGUAUAGACCCCAUGCUGGCCUGGCAAUGAAUGAGUUAAUGCAGGAACUACCAGCCAAUGCUGAUUGGCAGCCUCACAGCAGCUGGGAGAAUAAAAGAGCUGAGAAGCACAGGGGUGGGGUGGCUGCCAGAGGAGGAAGCAGACCAGAGAAAGUAGGUCCUGCCAGCAAGCUGGUGAGACACUGUCCCAGAGGGACAACACCCUAGAGAACAGAUGACCACAGGCUGCAGAAACUGAUAGCACCAAGAGUAGGACUACAGAGAUUCAGACAAGAAGGGUGGACUGAUUGCCCUGCUGAACUAAACAGACUGUGCAACACUCCAACUGACCAAAGGGAAGUGCUGAUGCAAUAGGGCACCAGUUCUUCAGAGAAGCUUCAGGACUGCUGUACGCUCAUCAAACCACAGACUUUUGUGGGUUCUCUUCUCCAUCAUUAAUGAGAGGAGGAGGUUGCAUUUUGCUACUCUGGAGCUCAGAACUGCUUUCAUCUCAUUUGAGCCAGGCAUGCCUUUAUUGCUGAUCUACCCCUAAAGGGCUCAAUUAUGGGUUGUUUGACAGACACGUUAUGUAAUUUGCUGAUGUCCAUAAACUGGACCUGCCAUAAAGUGGUUCCCCACUUGCCACAGAGCUCUACUGGAACUGCUAAGCACCAGACCCUUCUUAGUUCCCUGUGUAUGGGGCAUGCCAGAAGACAGAACGAAGAGUGGGUGCUGCUAGUCUCAGCCUACAGCCACUGCAACCAGAGCACAGUGUACAUUAGAGCAGCCCUAUAGCCCUAAGGACUGGGCAGAAUGUUGACUGAGCCAAGAAUACUGGAAGGCUUUGAAGUGGUGCACAACCCCUUUACUCCCACCCUUCCAUUCCUUCAGUGAGAUCAACUCAGCAGAAUGGAGAAUCGGGGCACUACUCCUUGUGAUCUGCACAACCGCUCUUAUCUUGUUAAUUGGGACACACUCCACUUAAAAAAUCUUGUUGUAAACAAACAAAUGUAUCUGUGUUACAAAUAAGACCCUAAUUAUUAAAAUGACCAAACUUUAAAAAAAAA